ensembl:lincRNA 1700008K24Rik RIKEN cDNA 1700008K24 gene
AGUUAUUUUGCAGGAGGCUUCUCAGGGAUGAAGGCAAGCUGUCCCCUAGCUGAUCAGCUGGUUGGUGAGGACUCUUCACGAAGUCAGGGACCAUUGUGAAGUUGGAAGAAUGCCCACAAAAUCCAGCUUGAAACCUGCUGGCUCUGAGGGUCCUGCUGGCUCAGCAGUGCUGUGUUUCUUCUGUCCUAACCAGAAAGUUACCCUUCUAUUUGCGGAGAGCUAUUGCCUAUCGGCCUGGACCAGCAGAUAACUCAGCACUCAUGAUCAGCUGUCAAGCUAUAACAGAGUGUUGAGGCCGCCCCUGAAACCACAGGGCCAUUUUGUAGGAACUAAGAAGCCAACCUCAAGGAAUCACUCGCCCCAAGAAGACUUUGUUCUGAUCUGAUGUGUUUCUAGCCUGGUGGAGCCUCAGCUAUCCAAAGGAAGAGCUGUUAAGAUGAUUGGAAUUUUGGUUUUUCCGAUUCACUCUUUUUUCUCUCCAGCAAUCUGCCUUAGACAGCAGGAGAAAAGGAAACUUAGCCUCAGAGGUGGGGUCCUUCGGAAGGACUGACAGUGGGCUAGCUCUCCUGCUGCUGGGAGCCUGAGUGCCUUUGGCUCCUUGCCCAGAGCUCAGCUUUACCACGGAGGUUACCUGCUUACCAUCAACAUCGAAACUUGCCUCUUCCCCUGGGUGUAUUCUCCCUCUUUUGUGGACAGUUUGGUUCCUCCAAACUGCUCUCCCUGUGAAGAAAGCCGAUGGAAUUCAGGGAGCCUGGCCAGCCACCCAGGCCUUUAUAAAGGUCCUCGUACCACAGGAUGUAUGGGAGACCCAAUAAAGACUUUGCAAAAUGCU